UGGUAUUCAUUGACCUAGAAAAGACAUAUGAUAGAGUAUCAAGAAAAUUUCUUUGCUAGGUGUUGGAGAAGAAAGGAGUCAAUAUCAAGUAUAUAAAUGUUAUUAAAGACAUGUAUGAGGGGGCGGUCACAAAUGUAAGGACAGUGGGAUCAGACAUAGACGAGUUUUCCAUAACAUUUGUCAUUGGGUUUGCAUUAGGGAUUGAC
rnacentral:misc_RNA from 1 species